UACGUAGGGUGCAAGCGUUAAUCGGAAUUACUGGUCGUAAAGCGUGCGCAGGCGGUUAUGUAAGACAGUUGUGAAAUCCCCGGGCUCAACCUGGGAACUGCAUCUGUGACUGCAUAGCUAGAGUACGGUAGAGGGGGAUGGAAUUCCGCGUGUAGCAGUGAAAUGCGUAGAUAUGCGGAGGAACACCGAUGGCGAAGGCAAUCCCCUGGGCCUGCACUGACGCUCAUGCACGAAAGCGUGGGGAGCAAACAGG
rnacentral:rRNA from 1 species